GUCUUCGUGGUGUAUUAGUCAGCACGCUGGUCUCGCAUUCCAGAGAUCUGUGGUUCGAGUCCCAUCGCAGGCG
rnacentral:tRNA from 1 species